GACAGAGGGUGCAAACGUUGUUCGGAAUUACUGGGCGUAAAGCGCGUGUAGGCGGCUAUGUAAGUCGGGCGUGAAAUCCCACGGCUCAACCGUGGAAGUGCACCCGAAACUGCGUAGCUAGAGUCCUGGAGAGGAAGGUGGAAUGCUUGGUGUAGAGGUGAAAUUCGUAGAUAUCAAGCGGAACACCGGUGGCGAAGGCGGCCUUCUGGACAGUGACUGACGCUGAGACGGCGAAAGCGUGGGGAGCAAACAG
rnacentral:rRNA from 1 species